rnacentral:rRNA from 1 species
CGCGUAGGCGGCCUUGCGUGUCUUUCGUGAAAUCCCUCGGCUUAACUGAGGACGUGCGGAAGAAACUGCAGGGCUUGAGUCCGGGAGAGGGGGGUGGAAUUCCCAGUGUAGCGGUGAAAUGCGUAGAUAUUGGGAGGAACACCGGUGGCGAAGGCGGCCCCCUGGACCGGUACUGACGCUGAGGCGCGAAAGCGUGGGUAGCAAACG